GGGGAAUUUUCCGCAAUGGGCGAAAGCCUGACGGAGCAAUACCGCGUGAGGGAGGAAUGCCUUUGGGUUGUAAACCUCUUUUCUCAGGGAAGAAGAUCUGACGGUACCUGAGGAAUAAGUAUCGGCUAACUCCGUGCCAGCAGCCGCGGUAAUACGGAGGAUGCAAGCGUUAUCCGGAAUCGUUGGGCGUAAAGCGUCCGCAGGUGGUUUCCAAAGUCUGCUGUUAAAGACUGGAGCUCAACUCCGGAACGGCGGUGGAAACUUGGAAACUAGAGUUCGGUAGGGGUAGCAGGAAUUCCCAGUGUAGCGGUGAAAUGCGUAGAUAUUGGGAAGAACAUCGGUGGCGAAGGCGUGCUACUGGACCGUAACUGACACUCAGGGACGAAAGCUAGGGGAGCGAAAGGGAUUAGAUACCCCUGUAGUCCUAGCUGUAAACGAUGGAAACUAGGUGUGGCUUG
rnacentral:rRNA from 1 species